rnacentral:rRNA from 1 species
ACGCUUUCUACAGGCUUAACACAUGCAAGUCGAGGGGCAUCAGGAAGAAAGCUUGCUUUCUUUGCUGGCGACCGGCGCACGGGUGAGUAACACGUAUCCAACCUGCCCUUUACUCGGGGAUAGCCUUUCGAAAGAAAGAUUAAUACCCGAUAGCAUAAUGAUUCCGCAUGGUUUCAUUAUUAAAGGAUUCCGGUAAAGGAUGGGGAUGCGUUCCAUUAGGUUGUUGGUGAGGUAACGGCCCACCAAGCCUUCGAUGGAUAGGGGUUCUGAGAGGAAGGUCCCCCACAUUGGAACUGAGACACGGUCCAAACUCCUACGGGAGGCAGCAGUGAGGAAUAUUGGUCAAUGGGCGCUAGCCUGAACCAGCCAAGUAGCGUGAAGGAUGAAGGCUCUAUGGGUCGUAAACUUCUUUUAUAUAAGAAUAAAGUGCAGUAUGUAUACUGUUUUGUAUGUAUUAUAUGAAUAAGGAUCGGCUAACUCCGUGCCAGCAGCCGCGGUAAUACGGAGGAUCCGAGCGUUAUCCGGAUUUAUUGGGUUUAAAGGGAGCGUAGGUGGACUGGUAAGUCAGUUGUGAAAGUUUGCGGCUCAACCGUAAAAUUGCAGUUGAUACUGUCAGUCUUGAGUACAGUAGAGGUGGGCGGAAUUCGUGGUGUAGCGGUGAAAUGCUUAGAUAUCACGAAGAACUCCGAUUGCGAAGGCAGCUCACUGGACUGCAACUGACACUGAUGCUCGAAAGUGUGGGUAUCAAACAGGAUUAGAUACCCUGGUAGUCCACACAGUAAACGAUGAAUACUCGCUGUUUGCGAUAUACAGUAAGCGGCCAAGCGAAAGCAUUAAGUAUUCCACCUGGGGAGUACGCCGGCAACGGUGAAACUCAAAGGAAUUGACGGGGGCCCGCACAAGCGGAGGAACAUGUGGUUUAAUUCGAUGAUACGCGAGGAACCUUACCCGGGCUUAAAUUGCAGUGGAAUGAUGUGGAAACAUGUCAGUGAGCAAUCACCGCUGUGAAGGUGCUGCAUGGUUGUCGUCAGCUCGUGCCGUGAGGUGUCGGCUUAAGUGCCAUAACGAGCGCAACCCUUAUCUUUAGUUACUAACAGGUUAUGCUGAGGACUCUAGAGAGACUGCCGUCGUAAGAUGUGAGGAAGGUGGGGAUGACGUCAAAUCAGCACGGCCCUUACGUCCGGGGCUACACACGUGUUACAAUGGGGGGUACAGAAGGCAGCUAGCGGGUGACCGUAUGCUAAUCCCAAAAUCCUCUCUCAGUUCGGAUCGAAGUCUGCAACCCGACUUCGUGAAGCUGGAUUCGCUAGUAAUCGCGCAUCAGCCACGGCGCGGUGAAUACGUUCCCGGGCCUUGUACACACCGCCCGUCAAGCCAUGGGAGCCGGGGGUACCUGAAGUACGUAACCGCAAGGAUCGUCCUAGGGUAAAACUGGUGACUGGGGCUA